rnacentral:lncRNA from 1 species
CUGCCUGGGUGCUGCAGCUCAGUGCUGCCUGAGAAAGCAAGUGACCAAGAGGAGCAGAAGACUACCAGGUAUCAGGUGCUUUGGGUUGACUAUGAAGAGCUAGAAAAGAAACUCAAUAUUCACCCAUCCAAAUUUUCAAGGAAAAAAGGAAGAAAAACCUGCAUAUGCACAACGUCUAAGACAUAACAAAACAUGAAUCACUCAUCUGUCACGAUUGCCUACACCUCCGGUCUCUGGGAAGAUAUUCUGAAGGUUACAACUACAUCCAUAGCUCUUCAUGUAUCACAGAACACUCCCAAGGAUACAUGGGAAUGACAGAGGCCACAGUAACCACCACAUGACCCCAACUCUGCUCACUAUUGUGGUGUCUUCUGACCAAUUAUUACUGAGAAGUUUUCAUGAGUAUUCAGUCUGUAUCCAGGACUGGCUUGCUGACCUGUACCUCAGAGAAAGGAAGGAAAGAGAAGGGAAAAUAGAAACAGAAGCAAUGUGUGAACGAUCCAGUUGCUCUACGUCCUUGCCAGCAGUUAGUAUGAACCUUCUAAUCUAGUGAGGAUCAACUAUGGACAAUGAGGAAAUUGGGCACCAUGGAGGACCAUUUGAUGCCUUGUCCAAGGACCUGGGUGCAGUCUCAACCCAUUCAAGAGAUCCUUCAGGCAUCCUGAUGAGGAAGGUGAAAGCGUCCUGUUUGGAAGCUGCAAAUUUCCAAAGGAGUCUGAGAAGUCUUGAGUCUGAGAAGUCAUCUCUGACCGUAAAGAAGGGAUGGUUGUGGGUGCCACAUGGAGAGGGGAGAUCCUGGCCAUGGCUAGCUUCACACUUACAUUGGGCCUUUUUUUGUUCCAUUUAUGACCGAAUAAUAAACUUUGAUUUUUUUAAAAAACUGAAUGUUGUUCAAAUACUGGUUCCAAGGACAGCAGAACAAAGGAGGUCUUGGGAAACUGGGUUUGG